rfam:Podospora anserina genomic DNA, chromosome 2.
GGUCCGCUGGCGUAAUGGCAGCGCGUCUGACUACGAUUUUCUAAUCAAUAUAUCAGGAGGUUCCAGGUUCGACCCCUGGGCGGAUCG